CAAUAGAGAACCCAGAUCCAGUCCUUCUCCCUGGAGGCUGAAAGUGAACUCUCAGAGUUUUUUUUUUUUUUUUCAAUUCUACUCAGGAGGGUGACUGGGAAGAUAGUGCGGCAACUCUGUAAUUCCUCUGCCUCCCCCUAAACCCAUCAAAUCCAAGGAGGCUGGGAGAGAUCCUUACCAUGGUAUUUUUGGGGGUGGCUCCACAGUCGUUCUCUACUCCAAGCUGGCAGAUUGAGAAACAGUAUUCGACCAGAGUGCUCACUGGAAACUGGCUGGAAGAGA
rnacentral:lncRNA from 1 species